ACAGCAGCCGCCGCGGGAAUACGAAGGGGGCUAGCGUUGUUCGGAUUUACUGGGCGUAAAGCGCACGUAGGCGGAUCGAUCAGUCAGGGGUGAAAUCCCAGAGCUCAACUCUGGAACUGCCUUUGAUACUGUCGAUCUGGAGUAUGGAAGAGGUGAGUGGAAUUCCCAGUGUAGAGGUGAAAUUCGUAGAUAUUCGGAAGAACACCAGUGGCGAAGGCGGCUCACUGGCUCAUUCUAGACGCUGAGGUGCGAAAGCGUGGGGAGCAAACAGGAUUAGAUACCCCUGUAGUCCCUGUCUCUUAUAA
rnacentral:rRNA from 1 species